AUCCACUGCUCAAAGAGAAAAGCCAGAUGCCAUGUUGUGAGCAGUCAUAUGGAGAGACCCAUGUGAUAUCCUGAAGAGAGUGAGAAGAACAGGCUGCUGCUGAAAAGCCUGUGACCAAGAAGGAAUUUCAGGCUGAAAGACAAUUUCAUGAACAAUAAGAUCAAACCAACCAAUGAACAAAGGGCACAAGACUAAGCCAAGCCACAAAGAACACGGCAAAGAGAUACAUCAACAGAACUAUUACGCAAAAUAAGCAAGGUUCUAGCAAUAAAGCAGAAGAGCCAAUCUGACCCAGAACUAUCGAGCUAAGAAUCCGUGGAUCUGAGCCUGUGCAAAGUGAUGGUGAAAUACUGCUUAGUCUAAUACUCCUCUCACAAUAUACUACAUAAAAAUGGAAAUGCAAGAACUGUGAUGUGUUACCCAAAAGUCCAAGCUGAUAAACCAGUAGAGGCAAAGAGACUCCAAAACUGGAUCUUC